AAAGAAUCUCUGUGUUGCUUUCCUAGCAUGCAGCCUUCACAUACUACUGAAAUUUGCUCCAAAUGAGGCAUCAUUGUAAGUGGAAAGCAUCUGUUAUUGGUCAUUUGAACCCUCACAAUCAGAUUUCUCAGUGACUGAUCAUCAUAAACAUUCACCAUAUUCUCUCCAAACACAAGAUAGUACCCAUGCUCCAUCAUUUGCCCAACACUAAGCAGAUUUUCUUCAAGACCAGCUUCAGAAUAUCCCAAGCUCCCUUUGAGGUCUCCUCAUUCACAAUUCUGGGGAAGAGCUGAUCUGAGACAGCACUUUGGAUCAAUCCAAGUGCACGAGCAUCCUUCAUCAGAAGCUCAGCCAUCGUAGACUUCUC